rnacentral:lncRNA from 1 species
AUGGAUCCAUCCUCUCUUUUCUAGUUUCUCUCUAGAGAUCUAAAAAUUGAAUCCACCAUACAUACAUACAUACAUACAUACGUCUUCUUUUAUUAAUCUUUAAAAAAAAGAAAAACCGAGGAAUCCGAGUGGUGUGUGUUUCUUUCGUUCUAAUGUAAUGACUCCUAGAUCUCUUUUGCUGCUUGUUGUUGUUGUUGUUGUUUGGCUUCAGGGGUUUGCACCACCAACAUAGAUGCGGAGCAGGGGAAGGUGACUGUCUCAGGCAUUGCGGAUGCGGCCACCAUCAUCAAGAAGCUCAACAAGGCUGGGAAACAUGCAGAGCUCUGGGGGAGCUCAAAAGGCGGCGGCGGCAGCCUCACCAACCAGCUCCAGAAGCUCGGCCUGGAAAACAAUGGAGGGAAGGGGCAGCAUAAAGAUAAUAAUAACGGCAACGGCAACGGCAACGGGAACGGAAAGGGGGGUCAGGGUCAGAAGGGGGGCGGGGGAGGGAAAGAGCAGAACCCUAAGGGGCUGGGGCUUCUGCAGCCGACACCGCAGCAGCUGCAGCAGCUGCAGCAGCAGAUGCAGAUGAAGGGCUUCAAGGAUCUGAAGCUUCCCCAGCUGAAGGACCUCAAGCUCCCCUUCCAGAAGGACCCCAAGACCGUCAAGUUCGCUGACGUCGACGAUGGCAGCGACUACGACGACGACGACGACGAUUAUGACGACUUUGACGACUUUGACGACGAUGAC